GCCCUCGUCGUCUAGCGGCCUAGGACAACGGGUUUUCAGCCCGUGAAUCAGGGGUUCGAAUCCCCUCGAGGGUA
rnacentral:tRNA from 1 species